rnacentral:rRNA from 1 species
UACGUAGGGGCAAGCGUUGUCCGGAAUCAUUGGGCGUAAAGAGCGUGUAGGCGGUCCGAUAAGUCCGCUCUGAAAGCCCGGGGCUCAACCCCGGGAGGCGGGCGGAUACUGUCGGGCUAGAGUCCGGAAGAGGCAAGUGGAAUUCCUGGUGUAGCGGUGAAAUGCGCAGAUAUCAGGAGGAACACCGAUGGCGAAGGCAGCUUGCUGGGACGGUACUGACGCUGAGACGCGAAAGCGUGGGGAGCAAACAGG